CUUUCAUUGUAGAUGAUGCAAUUUUUUUUUUAAGUACUAUAGCUAAUUCUUAACUGUUAAAACCACAUUUUUAAUUAAUGUUAAGGAUAUGGACAAAAGAUUUCUUUUUCAUUGAAAAAGAAACCAGCGCUAAAGAAAAUCUUAAACGUCAAAUUGAAGAUAGAUAAACAGGCUACAAAAAUUCUUCAAUUAAAAAAUUUUAUAAUUAGAUUCUUGGAACAGCGGAAAAGCUCUUCAUCAACAUUAUGAAUUUUUUCGAUGCAUUGUACCAUUUUCCAGAAUAGCUGUUUAAAAGUUAUUACACAGAAAGAAAAAUUUCUUGACUGAAGAAAAAAAUUCUUGGCUCAAGA